AUAUCACAUUGAAAUGCUUGUUCUCAUACGAUAGCAGAAGUUAAGGGACAUCGGGUCUGGUCAGUACCUAGAUGGGUGACCACUUGGGAAUACCAUGUGCU